rnacentral:lncRNA from 1 species
UCAUUUGUGCCCAGCCAGACUGCGGCAAAAAUUUUAAAUUUUCAAACUAAAAAAAAGCAAUAUUUUUUAAAAAGCUAAUUAAGUUGUAUGUCUCUAUAUUGUUUUUCCUAAAGAGCCUUGGAUAUGCCUGCUUAUUUGAUGUCAUCCAUAUCUCGCCUCAGACAUAAAGAAACAAUCAAAUCAGUAGGCUCAGAUGAGAUCUUAAAUGAGAUAAGUAUUUAACACUUCUAUAAAGUAUACUAUUGAUUGUUUGCUGUGAAUUGCAACUGGUUCCUAAUUGGCCUCUCUAUCUCUAUUUUCUUUGACUUCCAAUUUACUUUCCUAACAUAGUGAAGAUCUUCUUUAAAAAAUUCUAAGCUUUUUAUUCUCUGCUCUCAGUGUCUGUAGAACAAGGUACAAUCUCCUUGAAAUGGCUACCAAAUCUUCAAUCUUCUGGCCCUUGUCCACCAACCAGCCUCAGUCCUGUCCACCCCACAGCCAAGUCUCACUGCUCCUUGUUCUACAAGGCCUCCUCUGGGUUCUUCUGCAUGCAGUGGCCUCCCCACCUUCUCAACCAGUAUUUUCUCUGUGAUGUUCUCCUUGUUCUAACCUCAGAAACUUAAUCAUUCCUUGACUUUAACAUAUUUCUUCUGUUUUAUUUCUCAUGUUCCUUCAUUCUUAUUGGUUUACUAUUUAUUUUCCCCUGGUAAACUUUAAAACUCUUAAGGGAAAGUUCUAUUUAUCUUUGGGCCCUGGAAAGUAGCUGAUGUGGAAUAGGAUGAAUGGAUGUUCAUUAAGUCAGUGAAUGAAUACUGGCCAUUUGGAAAACUAGUUGCAAUCCAGUUGCCAAGUAAUUUCCUAGCUUUCUACCUGUACCAACUACGUAAAAUAUUUCAAAAAUCUAGUCAAUGUUUAUUAUGUGUUUCAGGAUACCAUACAUCCUUUUAUAGAAGUUUCUUUUCAGCAUACAGUAUACCAAACCAGUACUGCAAAUGGAUCUCAUCCUUGCUGGAAUGAAGAAAUUGAAGUAGAUUUUAUGUAAGUUGGUCCAUUUUCCUGAAGCUUUUUGAUUUUUUAAAAAGAAAAAGAAAAUUGUUUUCCUAAGCCAUUAAUUAAAAAUAAUGAUACACUUUAAACUUUGAAAUUGUGAAAUAUUUAAUUCAUAUAAACUAAUAUACAUAAUAUAUAGUAUAUAUAAGUUCUGAAGAUAGAUAAUAAAAUAAAUACCUGCAUCCAGAUUUAAAAAAUAGAAUGUUACCAAUUCCUUAGAAGGCCCUCUGUACCAUUACUUAACUAUCCCUUUCCCAGAGGUAAAAAAAAAAAAAAAAACAUGAAUUUGUGUUUGUCAUUCUCUCUCUUCCUUUAUUUUACUUCAUACAUAUUUUCCCCAACAUUUAUUUAUGCAUGUUUUCAGCUUUAUACAAAUUGAGUCACAAUUAUAUAUUCUUUUGUAAUCUUGUUAAUUUACUCAAAUUAUUUUGAGAGAUUCAUCCUUGUUCAUAAUUAUGGUCUAGCUGUUUGUUCUGCUCUGAAUGCACCCCCAAGGUUCAAGUGUUGGAAACUUAAUCCCAGAGCAGCUGUGUUGGGAGGCGGAUCCUAGUGGGAAGUGUUCAAGUCAUGAUGGCACUUCCCUCACAAGUCAGUUAAUACUGUUAUAAAAGAGGUAGAGGGAUUGUGUUCCCUGAUCUGUUCUUCUGUCAUGUGACAAUAUAGCGUCUAUCCCCUUUUGGUCUUUCAGUUUCUCAUCAUGUAAAGACACAGCACAAAGGCUUUCACCAGACUCCAGAAACUGGUGCCUUUUUCUUGAACUUAUAGCCUCUAGAAAUAUGAGAAAUAGGGCUGGGGAUGUGGCUCAAGCAGUAAUGUGCUCUCCUGGCAUGCGUGGGGCGCUGGGUUCGAUCCUCAGCACCACAUAAAAAUAAAAUAAAGAUGUUGUGUCCACUGAAAACUAAAAAUAAAUAUUAAAAAAAGAAAUAUGAGAAAUAUACUCUUAUUUUUUAAUAAAUUACCCAGUCUCAGGUAUUAUGUUAUAGCAGCAUAAAAUGGGUUAAGACUGCUGUUUAUUUUUUUCACAUCUAUAUAGUAUUACAUUGUAUGAAAACAUAAUUUAUUUAUGCUUUCUUCUGUUAAUGCACAUUUGUCUUGUUUCUAAUUUUCUUGUACUGCAAGCAGAGUUGCUGUGGACAUUUUGUGCUUAUCUUCUGAAAUACACGUCUAAAGUUUUUUUAAUAAGACAGUGGCUCUCAAACUUUUUAUGCAUUAAAAUCACCUACAUAGCUUCUUAAAACAGAUUUCUGGGUCCACCUCUCUAGUUUCUAAUUCAUUAGGCCUUAUAAUUACAGUCCUAGCAAGCUACCUAGUGGCACUAAUGCUGCUAGUUAGGCAACAAACUUUAAGAACCUCUCCUCUCUCUAGUCCAGAAGCAGAAUUGCUUUGUUGUAGUUGAAUUCAAUUUCAACUUCACUAGAUAAUGCCAAACUGUUUCCUAAAGUGAUUGUACUAUACACAUUAUAACAUAUAAUUGAAAUAUUUUUUAUUUUUUAUUUUUUCUGAUAUAAUGGAUCUAAAAUGGUAUUUUCAUUGUGGUUUAAUUUAUAUACUUUUUCCAGGCAUAGUGGCACACACCUGUAACCUAGCAGCUCAAGAGGCUGAAGCAGGAGGCUUACAAGUUCAAAGCCAACCUCAGCAACUUAGCAAAGCCCUAAGCAAGUUAGUGAGACCCUAUCUCAAAAUAAAACAUUAAAAGGGUUGGAGAUGUGGCUCAGUGGUUAAGAGCCCCUGGGUUCAAUCCCUGAUACAAAUAUAUAUAUAUAUAUAACACUCUUAUUUUUAAUGAGGUUGUACUUUUUUUUCUUCAGCUUCUUAAAUCUAACAGAUUUUAUUCUUUAGAUCAGUUUUAAGUUUACAGUAAAAGGGGGUGGAGAGAGUCCCUAUGACUACAACACAUAGCCUCUUGGCAUCAACAUGCUAUAUUAAUGUGGUAUAUUUGUUACAACUGAUGAGCCAACAUUGACACAUCACUGAAGUACACGUCUAAGAGUUUUUUUAAUAAGACAGUGGCUCUCAAACUUUUUGUGCAUUAAAAUCACCUACAUAGCUGUCUGUCAUCAGCCAAUGUGCAUGGUUUACAUUAGGAUUCAUGCUCUGUGUUGUACAUUCUGUGGGUUUUGAUGAAUAUACAGUGCCAUUCACCCACAAUUAUAAUAUCAUACAAAAUAGUUUCACUGCCCUAAAAAUUGUGUGCUCCAUCUGUUUGUCUCUCACUCUUCUUAGAACUACUAAUCUUUUUAUUGGCUCCACAUUUUGCCUUUUCCAGAACAGUGUUGUAUGAAUCAGGAUUCUUCAGAGAAACAGAACCAAAGGGGGGGGGGGGUCCACAGGGAGGUCAGUCUUUUUAGUGUUUUCAACUAAUUGGAAGAAGCCAACCUUUAUUGUGGAGAGUAAUCUGCUUUACUCAGAGUUUAUUAAUUUUUUAAAUUGCAACCAAAAUACACUUUCACAGAAACAUGUAGAAUAACAUUUGACCAAAUAUCUCUGAAAUGUGGCCUCGCCAAGUUGGCACAUGAAAUUAGCCAUCACAGUCAUAUAGUCAGAAUAAUACAGUAUGGAAACCAGGAGCUCUCUGCCACUGAGCUGCAUCCCCUGCCUUUUGUUUUUAUUUCUGAUUUUGAUGCAGAAUCUCACUAAGUUGCCCAGGGUGGCCUUAAACUCCUCCUGACUCAGAAUCCAGAAGCUGGAUUACAGGUGUGGGCCACUACCCUGGCUCCUUCAUGUCUUAUCAUGGUUUGAUAACUCAUUUGUUUUUACCACUGAAUAAUACUCCAUCGUAUGGACAUGUCAGAAUUCUAUUUGUCUAUUCACUUUGAGCUUCUUUUCAUAGGCUUUUCAAUCAUUAGUAUUUUAUUUUCUGUACAUCUUUCUAUUGCUCUGUCUUUUCCUUUUUUUUUUUUAAGGAGUUCUCUGUAUCUUUUGGAUAUUAGCCCUUUGUCUCUUAUAUGUGGUGAAACUACUUUUCCCUAAUGCUUGGGUUUUCAUUUUCUUUAUAAUAUAUUAUGAUGAAAAAUCAGCUAUUAAUUUUACUAUAAUUUUCCUUUAUGGUUUGUGGUUUUUUUAAUCUUGUUUAAUUAUCAGUGGACUUCCUUUACUUUCCUUACUUUAAAAGUUAAAUUAAUUUGCAUUGAAGUUUUAGACUCCUUGCACUUUCUAAACAGCAUGUACAUAUAUAUCUUUCUAUGCUAUUCCUAUAUAUAAAAGGUGUAGCUGAUAAAUCAUAUUUUUAAGCCUAAAAGAAAUACCCAACUAUGUUCCUUGCUACCAGGAAGGAACAAAACAGACUAGAAUUUCUUGAUUCUGUAACUAAAUGUGGUGUUUAGGAACACACACUCACACACAUACACAAAACCCAGGGAAAAUUGAUAUAAUUAAAUAUGUACUUUCUCUAAUAUAGCUGUGCUUUACUGCUGGGUACAAAUUUCUGAUCAAGCAUCUGUAGAUGUUAAAUAUGUAAAUAUUUUCCUAAUAAUAUGAUGUUAUUUUUAUCUUUAAAGGUGGGAAAAUUGACUUCUUAUUUGUAUAUGCAGAUGAGGACUGUCUUAUGGAUUGAAUGUCAUAUGAUUUAUAUGAUUUUCUAAUUUUUUUUAGAACUUUGUAUUAACAUUUUAUAUUUCACAUUAUUUUAGAGUUCAUAUAUGAUUAUAUAUGAUUGUUCAUAUGCUCUUAUAUUCUUUAUAUAAUUUAUCUAGUGUUAACAUAGUCAUUCCCAUCAACAAGUCUUAGAGACUCAGUAGAACUAACAUAAUCAUUUACAUAUAUAUGAAGACAUUGUGUAGGCUAUAUAAACCUUCACAUUCCAGCUGUCACUUUACAUGGAAACCUCCAGACCCUAACCAGGAUGUGCAAGGAGAGGGAGACCCUGAAAUCAUAUGCCAUGACUUCAACUGGAUGAGAAAAAAAAUCAUAAUAGACUAGUGUGCCUUUGAAUUUUGUUAGCUCAGAUGCUAUGGAUACUUUUACUAACAGCAGAAAUCAAGUUUGUUCUUCCAUAUUUAAUAUCAGCUCAGUUGUAUUUUCAGAGUCUUUGGCUAUAGUUCCCAAAUAGCUUUUCUUAUUUGACUGCCUGUGUGGAUAUUGUACCUCUUGCUUUGCCCUUCAUUCAUACUUGAUUUCCUGAAAUUUUAUUUAUUUUUUUAGUUGUAGAUGGACACAAUGUCUUUAUUUUAUUUAUUUAUUUUUAUUUAGUGCUGAGGAUCGAACCCAGUACUUCACAUGUGCAAGGCAAGUUCUCUAUUACCAAGUUACAACCUCAGCACUUUCCUGAACUUUCCAGUCUUUGUGUAUGAAGGAGAAUGUUGAUUUAAAGAGAAUAUUAUAUUAUGUCAAAUUCACUAAUUAGUAUAUCAAAUGUAUUUUCUUUAAAAGUUUAUAAAAGUAAGCUGGGCAUGGUGGUGCACACUACUCAGGAGGAUGAGGCAGGAGGAUCACAAGUUUGAAGCCAACCUGGGCAACUUAGUGAGACCUUUUCUCAAAAUAAAAAAGAGCUGAAGAUGUAGCUCCAUGGUAGAAGUGGUAGAGUGCUUGCCUGGCAUAUUCAAGGCCCUGGGUUCAAUCCCCAAUAAAAAAUAAAAGCUUGUAAAUGUAAAAUAUUGGUUAGAUGUGUUUGAAAAUAUUUAGAAUAUUAAUUUAGACAUUAAAAUUAGAAGAAGUAUACUGUAUUAAAUAAUUUGGGAGGACACUGAAAGAAUUCCCCACGCAAAGACACUUCGCCGGGAGAAUUCCAAUUUUAUUGCAAAAAGCUGUGUGCUUAUAUAGAACUAAGGGGGAGAUGGUAGGGCUUAGAUAAAUGGCAGGCAACCCGUUUAUUGGCAAGUUCUUUCAGAUAUCAGCUCUGGAGCCCAGGAAUUAGUUCUCAUUGGGGCUAAGGUUCCCCGCCAGCGAGAUUUGAAAUUGGCGCCAGCGGGAGAGUUCACACGGGCGGGAACUUUUCACGCCACUGCAGAAAAGAAGAAGGUAGGAAGAAGAAGUCCUUAGGCGCCAUGUUGGGGUUUUUCUCUGGGGUAUGGCUGCCGUUUAUACUUUUCCCAACAGACACAAACAGAUAAAUAAACUUCUAAGUGAACUAAAGACUGGAGAGUGUUUUCAUUCCUGCAACUGUAACAGUGAGCUGAAUCAAGAACACACUUGGGUUCAACUGAAUGGAUCUGACAAUUCAGCCAAGGCAAAAUCAUCUAGGGACCACUUUUUAUGGCCUCCAAAAUAAGUCCCCUAUUUCUCUUCUUCCUGUGACAUUUUAGUGACUAAAAACCCAUGCAGAUAGUAAUAAUAAAUAAUUCACAAGUAGUACAUAGCCCUCUAAGCCGAAGUUUGGAGGAGGAACUGUGGCAAAUUUUGAGGAAAGUUUGAGUACAAUACAAGAUAAUUCAGAAAGACUUGAAGGAUUUAAGGGAUAUUCUAAGUUAACAAGCUUCAAAAUGUCUUGAGGAUGAUAGUUGUCCCUCCUUCUGCCUGCCCUGCCCUGCCUUAGGGCUUUCCAACAUGAAAGGAAACCCUUGAGCAAAUUAGGGGAGUUAGUUGUUAAUUUGUCCCUCAGAAAUGUAAGGGACAUUUUAGUUUAAAAUUUCUCUCUGAACUCAACUAGCAUUUUUCAGUUAUCACUACCUAUUGGACUCAGAAAGUAAUAGGAACCGUUAAGAGAUCCUUUGAGAUAGUACCUGCUUCUUUAAGUAACAGGCUUUAACAAAUAAUGUUUGAGCUGGGUGCAGUGGCACACUCCUAUAAUCCCAGCAGCUUGGGAGGCCGAGGCAGGAGGAUCACGAGUUCAAAGCCAACCUCAGCAAAGCAACUCAGUGAGACCCUGUCUCUAAGUAAAAUACAAAAUAGGGCUGGGGUUGUUGCUCAGUGAUGGAGCGCCCCUGAGUUCAAUCCCUGUACCCCCCCCAAUCAAAAAAAUAACAUAAACCAAAUAAUGUCUGAGCUCUGCCACUUGGUGGCAACACCAAUAAUUGAGCUUCAGUUACCCCAUGUAUGAUAACCUACUAUUUUCAUCUUAGUUGAAUGUUUGAUGGAGGUUCAAUACUCUAGCUGGAGCUGAGAGUGGAAGGUCAUUGCUUAUGAUAUAUACUGUCAUUUCUGUUAUUUCCAAUAUGUACCUAAUCAAUUAAGCCAUCAGCAGACAGCUUGCAAAAUUAAAUAUACUCUAUUAUCCCAAUUUCUGGUUAGAGAAAAUAAAUAUGAGAAAAAGAAUAAGCUCUGCAGUCAUUAAGUAAUCAUAUCCAUGAACUGGAAGCAAAAGAGGGUUUUUAUUUGGGUUUUUUAAAUAUUCUUUGUGUAUUUUGAAAUCCAAGGGAUUGAGCCCAGGGGAGCUAUACCUCAGAGGUAUAUCCCCAGCCCCUUUUUAUUUGAGAAAGGGUCUCACCAAGAUGUCCAGCUUGUCCUCAAAUAUGUGAUCCUUUUGCCUCAGCCUCCUGGGAUUUCAGGAAUGUGCCACUGAGCCCAGAAAGAGCAUUUCAACCAUAUAUAUAAACCAAGAAUUUAAGAUAGAGGUUAAUCUUAAUUCAGCAUUUCCAGAUAAUGUUUCAGUGGAUGGCUCUGGUGGAAGCCUUUCUGCUUGAUAGUUAACAUUUUUACUUUACAUCUUAAAAGAGAUAUAAGGUAAAUUCCAAAACACCUACUGAUUCUAAUGGAAGGUCACAGCUAGUCUUCAAAGCAUGCAGCUUUUUCUAGGUUUAUGCUUUAUAAAGAAAAGGAUAUGACAAUUUUACCAUACUUUAUGAAUAAUGCUCUUAGAAAAUAAAUGGGUUUUGAAAAAAAUAAGCACUUACCUAUGUUUUUCUUAUUUGCAGCUCACCAGGACAUGAUUAUAGCUUCUCAAGCUUAUCUAAAAUAAAAGAUAAUAUAUGUAUCAACAUUUUUGAUGAAAUGAUAAUUGAAAAACAUGAGGUAAAGUAGAAUAAUUGCAAUAGUCAAUGUUCAAA